rnacentral:rRNA from 1 species
CCUUUGACGUUAGCGGCGGACGGGUGAGUAACACGUGGGUAACCUACCUAUAAGACUGGGAUAACUUCGGGAAACCGGAGCUAAUACCGGAUAAUAUUUCGAACCGCAUGGUUCGAUAGUGAAAGAUGGUUUUGCUAUCACUUAUAGAUGGACCCGCGCCGUAUUAGCUAGUUGGUAAGGUAACGGCUUACCAAGGCGACGAUACGUAGCCGACCUGAGAGGGUGAUCGGCACACUGGAACUGAGACACGGUCCAGACUCCUACGGGAGGCAGCAGGG